GACGAACGCUGGCGGCGUGCUUAACACAUGCAAGUCGAACGGAAAGGCCCUGCUUUUGUGGGGUGCUCGAGUGGCGAACGGGUGAGUAACACGUGAGUAACCUGCCCUUGACUUUGGGAUAACUUCAGGAAACUGGGGCUAAUACCGGAUAGGAGCUCCUGCUGCAUGGUGGGGGUUGGAAAGUUUCGGCGGUUGGGGAUGGACUCGCGGCUUGUCAGCUUGUUGGUGGGGUAGUGGCUUACCAAGGCUUUGACGGGUAGCCGGCCUGAGAGGGUGACCGGCCACAUUGGGACUGAGAUACGGCCCAGACUCGUACGGGAGGCAGCAGUGGGGAAUAUUGCACAAUGGGCGGAAGCCUGAUGCAGCAACGCCGCGUGCGGGAUGACGGCCUUCGGGUUGUAAACCGCUUUCGCCUGUGACGAAGCGUGAGUGACGGUAAUGGGUAAAGAAGCACCGGCUAACUACGUG
rnacentral:rRNA from 1 species